UGACUACGAAUACUAACACGCAUACGAUAUAAGCUAUAAGAAUUAAAAAUUCAAGAAUCAGAGUUUUCAACCAUAUUUCUCGAAACUCAAGAAAAGGUCUUGUCUCUUUAUAUCGACAAUGCUAAGUUGUACUGAAUAAUCGGGUUAAGGUGUUUAAGAGUAAAUCUUGUUAAUGCAAAACUUAAUAAGCAAAAUAAGAUCCAAUUAUCUCAGUUGCGACGCUUAUAAACCAACUACCAUCAAAACCAUAUCAGGAAGGCCUUCUAUCUCAGUCUUAAUUCUUGAACCCGACAUUCUUAUCAUGUAAGAAUUGAUUGACAACUUGUGCAGAUUGUUUCUCUUUGUGGAUCACAGUUUCAGUAGAAGCAGUGGAUCUUAGUUUUUCACUGAGCAUACAGAUCCAACAAUGGCAGGCAAUGCGCACUUACUGAUGCAAUACAAGUGAUUAAGGAUUUAACCUCGGAGGUGAAGAAACUAAAGGCGGAUCAUGCACUAGAAGGUUUUGAUCGACAAGAAUGUCACAAUUUAGUGAGAUUUUCUAUCUCAACCAUCGCUCAUAACAUGUGGGAUCGUCAAUGAGAGAGGAAGACAAGCAACGAGAGGCAGCAAGAGAAGAGUGUUGCAAAUGGGAGUCAUUCGAGCACAUCUCUCAGGGUAGCUCUUCUGAUAGCAUGGUUCUUGUUCUCUAACACUUUCCUUUUUCUGGUUUCUUUUUUCAUCAUGAAAGUAUCAUCUGUUACUGAAUACUGAACUUGAAAAAAUGCUAUGACCUAAAAUUUUACCUGGUUGAGGAUGCUGAGCUACAGAUACUAACUUGAAGCUAGUUUGUGUCUUAAUUUACCAACUCUAUUACUCUUGAAAAGGAGAAUACAAGUAGAGGUUUAUUGUGAUACAUAUUUCAAGAAAGGGAACGAAAUAAAGUAGACGACAACAACGACAACGAUUUUCAUUGACGACUAUCAUCAGUUCAUAGGCAACUAGAUACUAGACAUUACCAACACAUAAUUUACAGUAAUACAAGCCCUCUUCAUGUUGCCAAUGUUGAGGAUUACCAAUGAACCUUGUUCUACAUUCCGCACCCUUGGCAUGAUGUGCUCGUAGCCUGACUAACUACCACAAGUCCAGGAGGGACGCACAGGAGCAUCAUUGGAUACGUGCAGAUGAAAAAAGGAUAUAUGAGAAUAUUGAUAAUUGCAGCAGAUUGGACUCUUUAGGAUACUCUCAUUAUACUCACCA